GAGGCGCGCAAGAACCCACAUUGAAGGUUUCCGGGGCACUUGGUCUGAUGUAAAACAGUCAUGAUCAAUUUAUAUGAAGAAACAACAAGCACCCUCGCAGGUCAGGAGGAAGAUUUAACAUCAAGAACCAUUCUCUCUCUGUCACAGGAGGAAACAAAGCAGGGAAGGGUCUGGAAUCCAGCUUCCAGGUCAGGUCUGGUGGCAAAAGACAGAAUCUGGAUGAGGUCCAGGGAACAUAGUGGGAGAAAGAGGAGAGAAACGUGGGGUGAAAGACCGACCGAAGGUCUCAGGUCCUUUGGAGGAGGCAGUCAAUUGGCAGUGGAGAGAUCCAGCAGGCGGUGGCUGUUCCUGCAUCGGCAGGAGAAAAAAGUGGCGGACCGAGACCGUGGCCUGAGGGGAUUGUCUAGUGUGCGGUGCUUUUUUUUACUGUUGUUUUUUGUAUUUAUUUGUAUUUUAAAUUUACAGUAAAAUGUAAUAAAAAUAACUUCACUGUCCAACAUAGUUUUUAAAAUAAUAUUUAACAGAAACUAUAAAGAGCAAUAGUUCAACAACAUAGUAAUGAUUCCUUCAUAUACAAUGGAAUGUCUAGGCAUGCUUACUAAAUGUUAAUUGAGUUUAUCUGUUCAACCAAUAUUCUUCAAAUUAUGCAUGUUAUUUAUUGAACUGUAUGAUAAGUAUUACUUCAUUUUUGUAUAUUGUAUCACUGGGACAUUGCAUAAUUCAAGAUUAAAUAAUAAUCAUGAAACAGAUCAAAUUUCUUUCAACUUUUUAACAGAUAUAAUUCUUUAUUAUACUGUAAAUAUUUAUCUACUGUGCAUUUCCAUUUUUUAGGAAUAAACAGUAUUAUCUACCAUGCCAUACAUUUCCUUUAUAACAAUUAAAGGACAUCUUGGAAAACAUAUUCUUACAGUCAGAUGAAUCAACAACUAGACAGGUAUUAAUUAAUUAAACAUUAUGAUCUGAUUGCAGCUAACACACUGGAGUAAGUAUGAGCUACAACAGAUUAAGUUGCUGUAUAAAGUACCAGGAAUCAGCAGCAACUUUUAGCAAGUCUGGUAAAUAAUGACCUAUGUAGAAUCAGCAAUAAAGAAUUAUACAAAACAGAUAAUUAAAUAGGUAAACGAGAUAUUCAUUAAAUGUCUUACUUAUAACUAUAUAAUGUACAUAUUUAUUAUUAUUAUUGUGAUAUAACAUAUAUUAUCUAUCUGCAUUAGAGCAUACUAAUAAUGAAGUGAAAGAAAACACAGGAACAUGAUAAAUCAAGUUUGUAUUGUAAAGCUUGUUUUUUUAAAAAAAAACAUGACGUUGCAUGGAAUAAAGGGCAUCUGCUCCAAAGCUGAGGACAUUCAGAAGCUAUUCUCCAGACCAUCUUCUCCCUCAUCCCAAACCACCCACAUGAACAUAUCUCAUCUUCCUGCCCCCCUCCUCAUUCUCAACUUUCAGACUUCUAGCUGACCUAGACCUCUCUGCUCUCUGGCUCCUUUCCCUCAGCCUUCAAAACUCCUCACGUCACUCCCAUUCCUUAAGAAACCUUCUCUUGGCCCUUCCUGUGACAGAAUCAUUGUCCUGUCUCUCUCUUCCUGUUCCUCUCCAACUCUUGAGCGAGCUGUCCAACACCAGCUGGCAUUCUUUCUCAACAAGCUGCUUGACCCACUUCAAUCUCAAUUCCGUUCUGCACACUCCACGGAAACCGCCCUCUUCUCUGUAACUGACUCUCUCCUCUUUGCUAGGGCUGCCUAACUCCUCUAUUCUAAUUCUCCUUUACCACUCCUCUGCCUUUGACAUUGUUGGUCAUUUGUUGGCUAUUCUCCCCAUGUCUCUCUCUGACCUGGGGAUCUCAGACACUGUUCUUGCCUGGGUUUCCUCCUAUUUCUCUAACCGUUCCUUUCAGAUUUUCUGGCUGGGCUUUCUUUUCCCCUUGCCCCUUCUCUACAAGUGUACCUCAAGGAUCUGUGCUGGGACCUCUCCUUUUUACACUACACUCACUCACCAGGCACUCUCAUCUCAUUUGGCUUCUCCUACCACCUCUAUGCUAAUGAUGCCCAGAUCUUCCUCUCCUUUCCCUCCUUUGACUCUCAGAAUGCUUUUCGACUGUUUCAACUUGGACACAUUCUCACCACCUCAAACUCAACCUCUAUAGAUCUGACAUCGUCUCCUUCUGCCUACUCUCACGAUUCUAUCUCAGUAUCCCUUGAUUCCAUCACUCUUUCUCCACCCCUUCUGCUAAAAACCUAGGUGUUACUCUUGACCUCUCCCAUUCCGUCUCUCAACACAUCUCUUCCCUGACACGCACUUGCUGCUUCUUUCUUAGCAACAUUUACAGAAUCUGUCCAUUUCUCAGUACUUAUUCUACCUAACUCCUGGUCCAAGCUCUUGUACUCUCCAGAUUGGACUACUGUACCUCUCUCAUUGCUGGUCCCUGCUUCGGCUAUCCAUCCCCUUCAACUUACUCAAAAUUCAUUUCAUACUUUCAUGCUACCCCUCUGCUUUGCACUCUCCACUGGCUACCUAUCUCUGCUCAUAUUCAUUUCAAGACCCUUUACCACACUGCUCUCUUUACCACACUGCCCCUCCUACUUCUAAUCCCUUGUGUAUCUCUACACCCCCUCUUACCCUCUCCACUCCUCCUCUACUGGCCAACUGGUCACGCCUUCCCUCCACUCUCCAUCCUCUCGUGCCCGCUCCUUCUCCUCACUAACCCCUCUGUGGUGGAACCAAUU